rnacentral:rRNA from 1 species
UAAGGAAUAUUGGUCAAUGGACGCAAGUCUGAACCAGCCAUGCCGCGUGAAGGAUGAAGGCCCUCUGGGUUGUAAACUUCUUUUAUCUGGGACGAAACCCAUCCAUUAUUGGGUGAUUGACGGUACCAGAGGAAUAAGCACCGGCUAACUCCGUGCCAGCAGCCGCGGUAAUACGGAGGGUGCAAGCGUUAUCCGGAUUCACUGGGUUUAAAGGGUGCGUAGGUGGGUCUGUAAGUCAGUGGUGAAAUCUCCAGGCUUAACCUGGAAACUGCCAUUGAUACUAUAGGUCUUGAAUUUUCUGGAGGAUAGCGGAAUAUGUCAUGUAGCGGUGAAAUGCUUAGAUAUGACAUAGAACACCAAUUGCGAAGGCAGCUAUCUACAGGGAUAUUGACACUGAGGCACGAAAGCGUGGGGAUCAAACAG